AAAUCAGAAGAAGUAAUUUAUUUGUUGAUUUUUUAUGAGACUAUCAUUUUCCUUGACUGAAAUCGGAGUGCCAGAUACCAAUUUUUAGAGAUUAUCAUUUUAUUUGAAUUCCUGAAAUCAGAAGAACUUAUGAUGGAUGAUAUUCCCACUAUUUCUAGAGAGAUAACAAGCCCUGUCUUACCCAUAUUUAAUGAUUGUACAGGUGGUAUAUUGACUCCUCAUCAAAUAAUAAGCCAUGUCCUAACCUCAGUUAAUGAUUGUAUUCCCACUAUUUCUAGAGAG